AACUUAGCAGAGAUGCUUUGGUGCCUUCGGGAACUCUGAGACAAGUGCUGCAUGGCUGUCGUCAGCUCGUGUUGUGAAAUGUGGGUUAAGUCCCGNAACGAGCGCAACCCCUAUCCUUGUUGCCAGCGAUUCGGUCGGGAACUCAAAGGAGACUGCCGGUGAUAAACCGGAGGAAGGUGGGGAUGACGUCAAGUCAUCAUGGCCCUUACGAGUAGGGCUACACACGUGCUACAAUGGCGCAUACAAAGAGAAGCGACCUCGCGAGAGCAAGCGGACCUCAUAAAGUGCGUCGUAGUCCGGAUUGGAGUCUGCAACUCGACUCCAUGAAGUCGGAAUCGCUAGUAAUCGUAGAUCAGAAUGCUACGGUGAAUACGUUCCCGGGCCUUGUACACACCGCCCGUCACACCAUGGGAGUGGGUUGCAAAAGAAGUAGAUAGCUUAACCUUCGGGAGGGCGUUUACCACUUUGUGAUUCAUGACUGGGGUGAAGUCGUAACAAGGUAGGCGUACGUGU
rnacentral:rRNA from 1 species